rnacentral:rRNA from 1 species
AACGAACGCUGGCGGCAGGCUUAACACAUGCAAGUCGAGCGCCCCGCAAGGGGAGCGGCAGACGGGUGAGUAACGCGUGGGAAUCUACCCAUCUCUUCGGAAUAACGCAUGGAAACGUGUGCUAAUACCGUAUACGUCCUUCGGGCGAAAGAUUUAUCGGAGAUGGAUGAGCCCGCGUUGGAUUAGCGAGUUGGUGGGGUAAAGGCCUACCAAGGCGACGAUCCAUAGCUGGUCUGAGAGGAUUAUCGGCCACACUGGGACUGAGAAACGGCCCAGACUCCUACGGGAGGCAGCAGUGGGGAAUAUUGGACAAUGGGCGCAAGCCUGAUCCAGCCAUGCCGCGUGAGUGAUGAAGGCCCUAGGGUUGUAAAGCUCUUUCACCGGUGAAGAUAAUGACGGUACCGGAGAAGAAGCCCCGGCUAACUUCGUGCCAGCCGCCGCCGUAACAC